rnacentral:rRNA from 1 species
GCCAGCAGCCAUAUCACCCUGCAACUCACCGCUGCCAGCCCUCUGAAGCUCAGCAGGUGGGAGCCUGGCCGGUACCUGGAUGGGAGACCUCCUGGGAAAACUAAGGUUGCUGCUGGAA